rnacentral:rRNA from 1 species
CAGUCGCCGCGGUAAUACAGAGGGUGCAAGCGUUAAUCGGAUUUACUGGGCGUAAAGGGCGCGUAGGUGGUUAUUUAAGUGAGAUGUGAAAUCCCCGGGCUUAACCUGGGAACUGCAUCUUAUACUGGGUAACUGGAGUGCAGUAGAGGGUAGUGGAAUUUCCGGUGUAGCGGUGAAAUGCGUAGAUAUCGGAAGGAACACCAGUGGCGAAGGCGGCUACCUGGACUGAGACUGACACUGAGGCGCGAGAGCGUGGGGAGCAAACAGGAUUAGAUACCCCAGUAGUCCCUGUCUCUUAUAC